UCACCGUAUCAACGGGCGCACGCGCGGUGCGGCACGCGCCGCAACGUUGUUAUGUCGCAGCGGCGCCGUAGCAGCAUUCGACGGUGGCGCUCCGACGUCGCAACGCAUUUACCCCUCCCCGCCUCGUCUCGGUGGUUGCAAGUCCGGUGCGGCGCCGGAGCGCAUCGUGUGACAUGCCAGAAAUAUUUCUAUGUAAGACUACGCAGCGACACCGCUCCGGCGCCGCACCGCCGCCGCAACGCAUCGUGUGCCCCCGCU